AACGAACGUUAGCGGCGCGCUUAACACAUGCAAGUCGCACGAGAAAGGGCUUCGGCCCCGGUAAAGUGGCGCACGGGUGAGUAACACGUGGGUAAUCUGCCCUCGAGCGGGGGAUAACAUCUCGAAAGGGAUGCUAAUACCGCAUAAGACCACAGCCUCGAAAGAGGCAGCGGUCAAAGCAGGCCUCUGUAUACAAGCUUGCACUUGAGGAUGAGCCCGCGGCCCAUCAGCUAGUUGGCAGGGUAACGGCCUACCAAGGCGACGACGGGUAGCUGGUCUGAGAGGAUGAUCAGCCACACUGGAACUGAGACACGGUCCAGACUCCUACGGGAGGCAGCAGUGGGGAAUCUUGCGCAAUGGGCGAAAGCCUGACGCAGCGACGCCGCGUGGGUGAUGAAGGCCUCGGGUUGUAAGCUCUGCGGGAGAGACGAAUAAGACACUGGCUAAUAUCCAAUGUGAUGACGGUAG
rnacentral:rRNA from 1 species